UAUAUUUUACAUAUUAAUCCUCAAUUUUCUGCUAGCUUACAUUAAAAUUGAUUUGCACGUUGUGAAAAUCAUUAAGGUUUAUCGUACGUGCUUGAUACUUUUUUUAUUAAAAUGAAAAUAUUUUUUAUUGAUUGGUAAACUUAUCGACCGAUAAACUUAUCGACGUGGAACAAAAUUAAUCUCAAAAUAGUACGAGGAAAAAUGAACGAUCGUACGUAACGUACGAGAGGAUCUUUACUAUAGACGAACAUUGGAUCUGACAAGAAAAACAUUUUUUUUAACGUAAAUAUUAUGAAUGAAAAUAAACAUAUAAACAUCGAAGAAGAAAAACUAAACGUUUGGUUUAUAUCGUAUGCUUAAAAUACUAUUACGAUGGUAAUGAUUGUCAAAAAUAAUAAAUACGUUCUUCUCGAUUCGUUUGUCGAAUCUCGAUCCUCAUCGAUUAAUUACUUUAGCGUAAAGUACAUAUCUGAAAACUCUUUUAACAUCGAUAAAGAAGAGGAGGAAGAAGAAGAAGAAGAAGAAACAGUAUUUAUCAUUUUUAUACUUUUUCACGACGAAACUUUGGACUCGCUUUGGGAAGUACGAUAAACCAUUAUUAUAAUCCUAUCUCUCUCUCUCUCUUUCUCUCUCUCUCUCUCUUUCUCUCUCUUUCUCUCUCUUUCUCUCUCUUUCUCUCUCUUUCUCUCUCUAUCUCUCUCUCUCUCUCUCUCUCUCUCUCUCUCUCUCUCUCUCUCUCCUUCUCUCUCUGUCUUUCUUUCCUUUUUUUUCACUUUUAAGGUAAUUAGCACAGAUUAUUCAACCUGCAAAAUAAUACAUAUGUACAUAGAUAUUCGAUGUAUAUUCUUAUAUAUAAUUUCAUAUGUACAGUUCAGAUGGCGCUCAACGAUACGUUCCGUUCAAACGUUAAUUUGAAACGUGUAUCGUCCCUUCGAGAAAAUACAUAAGUACACAUACGCUCACAUCGUAUAUACACACAUUCAUACAUUACAUUCAUACUCGUCGCACACCAUGUUUGAGAAUAUCCGCGAAAACGCGAAAGGCCUUUCUCUUUUUAUCUUUCUUCGAACACUUUUUUCAACUGGUACGACUAGUUAUUAAAUAAUUAAUUAAUCCCUUCUGAGUAUCAUCGAACAUACUAUUUAUAUAAUAUAUUAUGUACAAUGUGCUAAAACGUGUUGUUCCUCGGAUCGAUAGCGUUGUCGAUUUUUCGUCCAGUAGGUAACCUCAAAUUUAUAUUAAGAUCAUAACAAUGUGGAUAAGGACUUUUGAUAAGGAAUUACGGAAGAAAAGGAAGAAAAAAAAUCAACUGGCAAACAAGAUUUCUUUCAUAUGCUAUUCUUUUGGUCAUGUGCUCGAAUUAAAAACAAACAACUAAAGAAGAAAAGAGAAAUCAGAGGACAGACAAUUCUAAAGUUUCGUAGACCGAAAACGAUAAGAAUACAACGACGACGAAUUUAUUAAUGAUAUAUUAAUCAACGCUCAUGCACACACGCGCGCGCGCGCGCCCACAUAUACACACACACAUAUGCAAACACGCACGCACUUAUGCAGGUCAACAAACUCAUAGAACGAUCUUUAUUUUCUUUUAUUAUUAUUUUUUUGUUUUUUUUUUUUAUUAAUUUUCUUCUCUUUCUCUUUUAUUUUAGCUCGACUUUUCUUUUGCUCUUAUACAAUGUUUCCGUCACUUUAAUCUUAAUAUCGCAUCUGAGAUGAUAAUCAGUUCACCGUACUACAAGUUCCCGCUUCUACAAUCUCUUUUCAUUGGCUCAUCACAAAUUAUCUUUCGUUGUCGAAUAGAUCAGAGAAAUACUUUGAUAUGAAUAAUCAUUAAUACAAAUAUUAAUUGCAAUAAUGAACGGACGCGUAUCCAACCAUAAUAUAUCCAUAAGAUAAUGAUGGCAGUGAGGAUUGAUCGUUUACGCGAGGAACCCUGAAAAAUGUAUACACAAUAUAUUUUCAUACGUGUACAUAAGUACAUACAUACGUCAUACCAAGUCAGUUACUUCAAGUUGUGAAAGCAUGAAUAUUUUUUCUUUUUUCUUUUCUGUUACUAUCAAAUCUUAAGAUCUUAAUAAAACUUUUAUCUGACAUCGAUAUAUAUAUAUAUAUAUAUAUAUAUAUAUAUUUUUCUUUUUUCAUAUUACGAAUGUUACAAAGACAUUUAUCCGAUUGGUAUUGAAUUCAUUAUCUUCAGUUUAGAAACGUUAUUUCUAAUAUCAGUAAAACAAAUUUCAAAUAUCAUAAAUGUGUUACUUAUUUUAUAUGCUUGGAACAAGCAUUUAAAUGCGGUUUGUUUUUUUUUCUAAAUUGAUAAAUAAAUUAAAUCAAAUGAAAGUUGAAAAAGAAAGAAUGGGAAAAGUUUUUUUUAACUUUCAAAUAAGAAAUGCAUGAAGUUUUUUUUCUUCUUUGUUCGGUAAAUCGAGUAUGUCGCGAGUUCUAAAUCUUAUUUUUUUCCAGCUUAUCACGUUUGAUAUAUUAACUACUGAUAAAGAUUAGUUUUUUCUUUUUGAGACAAAAUCUAAAAGAAGGAAUUGUCAAAAUGUAACAGUUAAAAGGUUAACUAUUAA